AGUUCAUUGUCACCAGAGUUAAGGUCCAUUUCAUGAUCAGUUCAUUGUCACCAGAGUUAAGGUCCAUUUCAUGAUCAGUUCAUUGUCA